rnacentral:miRNA from 1 species
UGGGGUGCCCACUCCGCAAGUU